UCAAAUUAAUUUGUUAGCUCCCUAACAAUUGCCUACGCACUUACUUACAGGCGAACCACGGAAAUUGAUUUAUGAAAAAUGUUACAAAUUAAUAAAUGUUGCCAGUAAAUCGAUUAAGGCCAGAUGUUAUAAAACUACUAAAAAAACGUUCGAAAUCAAGUGAAUAUAAAGUAGGUGAUAUAGUUGGUUCCAAAAUAAGUAGGACUGUUGUUGGCAAAGCCGGUGAGCAAUUAUAUCAAGACAAGGAAAUG